rnacentral:rRNA from 1 species
AGAGUUUGAUCCUGGCUCAGGACGAACGCUGGCGGCGCGCCUAACACAUGCAAGUCGAACGAGCGAGAGAGAGAGCUUUCUCGAGCGAGUGGCGAACGGGUGAGUAACGCGUGAGGAACCUGCCUCAAAGAGGGGGACAACAGUUGGAAACGACUGCUAAUACCGCAUAAGCCCACGGGUCGGCAUCGACCAGAGGGAAAAGGAGCAAUCCGCUUUGAGAUGGCCUCGCGUCCGAUUAGCUAGUUGGUGAGGUAACGGCCCACCAAGGCGACGAUCGGUAGCCGGACUGAGAGGUUGAACGGCCACAUUGGGACUGAGACACGGCCCAGACUCCUACGGGAGGCAGCAGUGGGGAAUAUUGCACAAUGGGGGAAACCCUGAUGCAGCGACGCCGCGUGGAGGAAGAAGGUCUUCGGAUUGUAAACUCCUGUUGUUGAGGAAGAUAAUGACGGUACUCAACAAGGAAGUGACGGCUAACUACGUGCCAGCAGCCGCGGUAAAACGUAGGUCACAAGCGUUGUCCGGAAUUACUGGGUGUAAAGGGAGCGCAGGCGGGAAGACAAGUUGGAAGUGAAAUCCAUGGGCUUAACCCAUGAACUGCUUUCAAAACUGUUUUUCUUGAGUAGUGCAGAGGUAGGCGGAAUUCCGGUGUAGCGGUGGAAUGCGUAGAUAUCGGGAGGAACACCAGUGGCGAAGGCGGCCUACUGGGCACCAACUGACGCUGAGGCUCGAAAGUGUGGGUAGCAAACAGGAUUAGAUACCCUGGUAGUCCACACUGUAAACGAUGAUUACUAGGUGUUGGAGGAUUGACCCCUUCAGUGCCGCAGUUAACACAAUAAGUAAUCCACCUGGGGAGUACGACCGCAAGGUUGAAACUCAAAGGAAUUGACGGGGGCCCGCACAAGCAGUGGAGUAUGUGGUUUAAUUCGACGCAACGCGAAGAACCUUACCAAGUCUUGACAUCCGUUGACCGCUGUAGAAAUACAGUUUUCCUUCGGGACAGCGAGACAGGUGGUGCAUGGUUGUCGUCAGCUCGUGUCGUGAGAUGUUGGGUUAAGUCCCGCAACGAGCGCAACCCUUAUGGUCAGUUACUACGCAAGAGGACUCUGGCCAGACUGCCGUUGACAAAACGGAGGAAGGUGGGGAUGACGUCAAAUCAUCAUGCCCUUUAUGACUUGGGCUACACACGUACUACAAUGGCGUUAAACAAAGAGAAGCAAGACCGCGAGGUGGAGCAAAACUCAGAAACAACGUCCCAGUUCGGACUGCAGGCUGCAACUCGCCUGCACGAAGUCGGAA